rnacentral:ncRNA from 1 species
GCGGCUCACUACGGGCGCUGAGUUGACGUAUCGUCUUGAUCCAACCCCGGAACACUUGUUCACCACAUGUGUUUUCUAGGGAGAUCCUAGCGUGCGACGACGAAGCUGAGAUUGUACCGUAAAUACUCGAUCAAGUUAAUGCUUGCGUGGGAAAAGUGUUGCCGCUCCAAA